rnacentral:lncRNA from 1 species
GGUGGAAAGGGAGAGAGAUAGAGAGCUAGAGAGAGAGGAGAGAAAGAGAGACCGAUCCACGGACCCUAUUAACAGGGUGAAAUCUGCCUAAACUAGGAAGCCAGAGGAGUAAGACCCUGAUGGAAACCACGCUUGCCUGUCGGUCCUGAUUUUGCCCCAGUCCUUCAAUACGCCUCUCACGGAUCUGUACGCUAAUAAUUGAUCCUAAAGAGGCAGGCAGACACCCCGACAGCGACACCUCGUCUCUCUUCUGGGCGUCCGGCUGAGCUUGCCUCACUGCAGAAGCAACCGAUAGCUUCCCUUUGCGCUGGUGGAAGACACAAGCCAGCAGCCCUUCGGAGGGGCCUCCCCGCACGCGCCUCUUGGGAUCCUGACUUGCUUAGGAAGAGGAGGGCACGGGGAGCCUCCUGCUCUGCAGCUGUCCCCAGGAUGCCCUUAAUUCCCGGGACAGGAGAGAUAAGCUCGUCUGACCUCAGUUGACCUCGCCGCAGGCGCCAGGCGUCCUCAUUUACUGCGAGGCAUUGGGGAGUCUACUUUUCUCUCUGCUCCCUGGGAUUUUUUUCCUUACGUCACUUUUUUCCUUGUUGGCUUGUAGCUGGUCUGAUGUCCCCUUACUGCUAUCUAAACCGCCCCCCUCUACUCCCUGCUCCCACCUAGGCACGCGUUUGCCACUCUCCAUUUUUCCUUUAAAGAAAACGUUCUGAGAGCCCUUUGAACCCAGCUGACCCUGGGAAAGGGCAGGUCCGUGGAUGUGAAGGCAAGUCCAGCAACUGGGGCUGCACUUACCUACAUGUGAAAAGGAAAGAGAAACACACCUUGCCUGCCCAUUGUCUACACCACGAAGCCCGGAUUCCAUUCCCUGGUAGUCAGGCCUUUCACACUGGGCUGCCCUCCAGGUAAUAUCCAAAGAUGCCCCCAGCCUACUCCAGCCCCUAACAGGACACUCAAAGGGACUCUGUGUUCGUGACUGCUGGAAUUUCUGCUGAGACCCCAACACAGAACAAUAUAUGGGUCAAACAACUCCCACCCCCAUUCUCAAGUGAGGUAUAGACCCUCUCUGGGGUGUUGUUAAGGGACCGACACCAGCCUCGCCUUGGGGUGAUACGAUAGGAGGCUAAGGAUGCAGGAGAGGCCAGCAGUGGGUCUUUCUUUUUAGAGAGGUGUCUAUAUGUUUUGCUUCUCCACCUACCUCAAGAUAAAUGACUUGGGCUCCAGAGAACUCCCUGAAGAGCUUUAGGUGUCUCCUGGAGUUUGGGAGGUGUAAGGACAGAUGCAACCUGCAAAGCAGACGGCUGUUUGCAGUGGCGAGAGAAGGAGGUAUUUGGAGCCACCUCUUCUUCCAAGAGCCAGUGAGUUAUACAUGCACUAAGUCUCCCUAGAGGCAGGGUGGACCCACAUCCCCCCACAGGGGCGAGGUGAGCAGCACAUGCCAGGACCUGAGGGUGACGAGUGAGUGCCAGCUAACAGGGGCUACCCAUGUCCCAGAGCUGCAGCUGGUGAACUGGCAACAACAGGGGAAGAGGAUUGAGAAAACCCAGAAAAGCAUCCGCAGAAGAGCCAGCAUGUGCACAUCUGCCACUCCCAAGGGCACCAACCCCAAAUGCAGCUGAAUCCUCCUUGAAGAGCUUUGUUCUUUGGGCCCUGAGAAACCUGCUAUGGCCUGAAUGUUGAUGUCCCCCCAGAAUUUGUUUGUGAACGCUAAUACCCAAUAUGACAGUAUUAAGAGGUGGGACUUCUGGAAAGCGAUGAAGUCAUGAAGGUGGAGCCCUCAUGAAUGAGAUUAGUGCUUUUAUAAAAGAGAUCGAAGGAAGCUGCCUUGCCUCUUCCACCAUGAGAGAACCUGUGGAAGGUGCCAUCUGUGAAGAACAGGCCCUCCUCAGACACUGAAUCUGCUAGCACCUUGACCUUGGACUUUCCAGCCUCCAGAAUCACCCAGUGAUUGGAGAAGGUGGGGGAUCCAGGAAGCAGGAACAAACACUGACUGGGUCCCCGUCCCAGCCACAUGCUUCCAGACCUAAGCCAGCCUCCAGGUGUUGGAAGGAGGAGAGAAGUACUGAUUUGAAUGAGGUGGUCACGUUUCUCAGUUUGAUUGGACUAUAUUUUGUAAUAGUUGAAAAAUGAGACAGUUUAUGAGAUUAACCAGGAAAGCCGGUCAAUGAGAUUUCAUUCUGCCAUAGGGGAUAAUAUAAAAAUACGGAUAAUAGCAAACAUUGACAUCACAUUUAGUGUCUUACAUCUCUUAACUUAUUAAUUAGGUUUGUGUGCUUCACCAACUCUUAUAAUUCCCAUUGCAUAAUUGAGGAGGCUGAAGGCCAGAGAGGUUAAGAAAUUCAUCAAGGUCCACAACUGGUAAAUGGCAAAACUGGGAUUUGAAUCCAGGCUUCAGUGUCUAGUUGUGGAAUUGAAAUGCUUCCCCAUCGCUGAAUCCUUAUUUCCAUUCUUAACCAAACCUCGCCUGACUUCAAGCCCUAACUCCAACCUCCCCAGCUCAGAAGCAUCCUUGGCUGUGUCAGCUGAAGGAGCCUCCCCUACUGUCCUGUGCUUUCAGGGGCGCAGUCGUGGCUGCAGAGUGGCCGUCCUCUUAGACAGUGGGGGCAUCUUUUGUGGAAUCAUGUUCAGAACCUGCAGCACAUCUGUUAAAUAUGUUCGAUCCUGGAAACUGCUCUUUUGAUGGUGGAUAGGAUGUUUGGAGCCAUCCAGACACCACUUGGAGUCCAGUGAAAAAGCCAGCAAUCAAGCUUUGAGAAACCAUUUUUGGUAAAAUGAAAUAGGAUGCACUCUAACUGAAUGAGACUGCUUUUCUUCUAUGGCUUAAAAGAUGGAACUAAAUGUAAUUCCCAAAAAAAGUCCCCCAAAAAGUGUGUCUUGGCAGCCUUACUGGAAAGCAUGUAUUCCAAGGGAUCUAUGCAGGGUAAAACUCAUUUGCAAGUAUCUGUUCUUUUUAUUUUUAAUCGAUUUUUCUAAUCAUGCUCAUCAU